rnacentral:rRNA from 1 species
CAGCCGCCGCGGGAAUACGAAGGGUGCAAGCGUUAAUCGGAAUUACUGGGCGUAAAGCGUGCGUAGGCGGUUUGUUAAGUCUGCUGUGAAAUCCCCGGGCUCAACCUGGGAAUGGCAGUGGAUACUGGCAAGCUAGAGUGUGUCAGAGGAUGGUGGAAUUCCCGGUGUAGCGGUGAAAUGCGUAGAGAUCGGGAGGAACAUCAGUGGCGAAGGCGGCCAUCUGGGACAACACUGACGCUGAGGCACGAAAGCGUGGGGAGCAAACAGGAUUAGAUACCCGCGUAGUCCCUGUCUCUUAUAA